rnacentral:lncRNA from 1 species
CGUGGUUUGGGGCAGUUGGAUCAGAGGGUUUUUCAAAAGUGUGAAUGAAAGUUACUCCAGGAGGAGUGAAGCAGCCCAAGGGUUAGACCUUGGUACAGAUUCUUGUUUGGAAUAUCAUUCCAGUGUUUUGCUGAACUUGGUGGGAUGUUUCUGACUGCUGUCAAGCCCAGACUGUGUGAUUUGACUUUGACAAGCAACCUUGGGGGAGAGUUUAAUCCCAGAACCCGAAGGUGGAACUGCAACAUCGCAACAACAGCAGGGUUGUGUGGGGAGCUGCGGAUGGGAAAAUGCUGCCUGAGACAGCAGAGCUGCAGGACUGGCACAUUUGGAGUGGUCUGGUCAUUGCUGGACUGACCCUGUCUGCUGGAGCUGGACCUUCUGUGCUCCGUGGGCACCGUGGGGCUGCUCCCCUUGCACAGAGCCCUGGCUGGGCUCCUGUGGCUCCCUGUGGUGCAGCUCUGAAACGCUACCAGUCUUCAUUAGGAGCGAAAAGUGAUGUUUCUGAUUUUUUGGAAAAACCUGCACCAUCAUCCUGUUGCUGACAGUUUCAGGCAAUCCCAGAGCUGGACCAGAGCUGAUUCUGCUCGCACUGGCUGGGGACAGCUUGGCUGGAGAGCAGCAAAAGGAAAAAUGACCCAACAGUUGUGUAAGCUGCUCCCAGAAUUGUGGCAAUUUCCUGCCUGGUUCCAGCAUUAAAUUUACCCAAAUAAUAAUAGGGGUUUAAUGGAUUUCGCUUUUGUUCCUCACCUGUUGAGUCAUGAAAGUUUUAAAAGCUCAUAAAUUAGCAGAAGUGACAAAUGAGUACAGCAGGGUGCCCUGGAUGAAGUGCUGGUGUUUGAAACUGCUGAAGGGGCUUUGCUGUCAGAGCUGAGCCAGACCUCACCUUCAUCCCUGGACUGGUCACACAAACUUAGGGAAGAGAGAGGAGAGAGGCUCUGGCUUCUGAAACUGAUGCUUGAUUUGCCAAAAAAAUAAGGGCUAUGAGAGUCUUAUGAGCUGCUGUGAGUGGUGAUCCAAAAGGGCUUUUUAAAUGUCAGAUUCAAGUGAAACCCUCACCCAUUUCAGCAGCAUUAGGUUCUUCCAGUGCUGAAUCCAGCCUCUCCCCCAGGAAAGGCCACUCCCUGGUAAAAAUGAACUGAAGAGUUCA